CCUCGAUUGAUAUUGUUUUCCACGUUCGAUCGGAGGAGAAUUACAAUCCCGACAAACACGUCUGCUGCGGCGUCUCUGUAAACAACUCCACCGCAAAACCCUCACCGUACAGCCAUUUUUGUGUACGGCCGGCUACAUGGAACGAAACAAACAAAAAAAAAGAACCCGUAAUCCCAAAAGGGUCACAGUGCAGUCUCGUUUGUCGGGGUUGUGAUUCUCCCUCGGUCGCGUGGAAAUGAUACCAGCAGCUGAUUUGAUCGGAGUCGAAGAACGGAACGGAAACCGGUCGGCGAACUCGGUUAGGGUUUGGUUUUGGUACCUCAAUUUUGGUUGAUUGCUUCAGUUUCGAGUACGGAAAUUCCGAAUGGUGAACAAGUAUUAUCAGAAUUUUGAUGCUUUCAUCAGACACUUUCUUGUACUAUGUUCUAAGGGAAGUAGAGGUAAAUUAUGCAGCUAACCAUGCUGGUUGGUGUUCUGUUCUCACUUGUUUGUGGAAGGAUUUUUUUGUUUGGUUAGCUGAAGGGAGGAAAUUGACGUACAAGAUCUAACAUUGACUUUCAGGAGGAUAAAUCCUGACUAUAUUUAUCUAAUCUUAGGAUGAGAUUAUAUUGUUGACUAUAUUUAUCUAAUCUUCGGAUGGCCAUGGAUUGCCUAUGAAGAUGGAUCAUUUGAUCAAUAACAGUACCCAUGUAUUCCCAACCGAUGGGGGUAUGAGGGGUGAUGACCAGUUACUGUCCUGCUUUUGUUUUGGCAUUAUAUGCACAAAAGGGGUUGCUCUCGUAAAGUUUUACCAUUUGAAAACUUGGCAUGUAACAAGGAACUCAAGAGACAUUGUACCAUGGAACCAUGUCCCCAGAUAAACCGGAAAGGAUUAGAGAGGGUAGGCAGACCUAGAGAUCUGUUUCAAUUUAUGUGCUCGUUACCUUGCUUCCUUCAUUCAAUAUUCAGGGCAUUAGUAAUGCACAAAAAAAUGGCGUACCUAGUGAACCAAGAUGGUAAUCAUGAUGAUGUAAUAAGACUCUUCAUCUACAUUCAGAUUGAGAUGAUUAGUCCAAUUCCUUGUGUCUCAAUUUGUUCUUCGAAAUAGCCAUCUAGCCUAGUGAUAAGGCCUUCCACUGCUGGUUGUUCACAGAAAGGGUCAAUUGCUAUCUUUUAGGGAAACUAAUGAGAUUAAAAUGGAAAACCUUUUUAUUUUUAUUUUUUGUGAACAGGGGAGUUGGAUGCUCAGUUUCUGUAGAGGAGGAUAAAAGGGUCUGGUUUGCUUGAACCCUGGUUUCUUUUAAUGAAAUACUGAACCUUACGUGGUUUCUUUCUAUUACAGAUUUAUUUUAGUAUGUUUUGGAUUUCUUUAGGCCAGAUUGUUAUGAUGUUAGUAUAACUCACAGCAGCUAAGUAUGCUGUUAAAGUGCUACUCUAUCCACCUCUAGUCAGAGGGAGGGAGGGAGGUAGUGUAUGAUGUAUCUGUACAAUAUGCGUAAGUUCUCUACCUGUAAGGCUGUAAUGUCUUUUUCUUGCAUUUUCUGUCCUACAACACAUGCAAGAUCCUGUAAGUAAUGUGUCUAGACAGGGAGAAGUUGGCAUACAAUCCUCAGUGAUGGUUGGGAGCCUUGCAUUGUGAACCAAUGCAUUGUUCUGGCAAAUGAACCCACAAAUGAGGCAUUCUGUCCUGUUCUGCUCCCAUGCAAGUUGGAGUCGCUGUGAAUUGAUACAUGAAGGGUCUAAAGAGGCCAUUAUAGCAGGAGCAAUGAUACCCUGGUUCAACCAGCUAAAAGGUGCAUAGAAGCAGUUGAUGAGAAGAGUUGGUGAUAUAGCAUGAGGUUCUUCUGGCUGAAAGCUGUGAGGUGCAAAACAGAGUAUAUAAGGCCAAAAAGUCCUGGAAUCCUCAAUAAUUUCUUGGACGAAGUUGGUGGCCGGUGGGUUUUUAAAUUGCUCCGUGACUCCCAAAAGGAAAUCUUUUGAAAUCUCACUUCCCAAUUUGUCGUUGGUGACAGAUACGAGUAUCACAUGUAUUUAGUCAAAUAAUCAUACGUGUGACCUCCCAAAAACCAAAGUGAGUUUUAUUUCGGAAUCAGUUUUCUUCAA